ensembl:lncRNA TEKT4P2 tektin 4 pseudogene 2
ACUUCGCCAUUUUCCUCCGGAAGUGCGGAUCCCAGCGGCGGUCGUGUAGCUGAGCAGGCCUGGGGCUUGGUUCUAUGUCCCUGUAGUGUCCUCUGGGUGUUUCCAAGAGCAACAAGAAACGAAUAAAUCUCUGCCCCGCAGCGCCUCCACCCCAGAGACCCGGACCAAGUUCACACAGGACAAUCUGUGCCACGCCCAGCGCGAGCGCCUGGACUCGGCCAACCUGUGGGUGCUGGUGGACUGCAUCCUUCGCGACACCUCCGAGGACCUGGGACUCCAGUGUGACGCCGUGAACCUGGCCUUCGGGCGCCGCUGUGAGGAACUGGAGGACGCGCGGCACAAGCUGCAGCACCACCUGCACAAGAUGCUGCGGGAAAUCACAGAUCAGGAACACAACGUGGUGGCACUGAAGGAGGCCAUCAAGGACAAGGAGGAACCUCUGCACAUAGCCCAGACCCGGCUGUAGUUGCUCUCACACCGGCCCAACAUGCAGCUGUGCCGCGAUGCAGCCCAGUUCAGCUGGUGAGUGAGGUGGAGGAGCUGUACAAGUCCAUCACAGCGCUGCGGGAGAAGCUUCUACAAGCGGAGCAGUCCCUGCGCAACCUCAAGGACAUCCACAUGAGCCUGGAGAAGGACGUCACUGCCAUGACCAACAGUCUCUUCAUCGACCGCCAGAAGUGCAUGGCCCAUCGUACUUGCUACCCCACCAUUCUGCAGCUGGCUGGCUACCAGUGAGCAGCGGCACGGUGCUUCCCCCCAAUCCCCCAAAUAAACAGUGCGUUAGCUUUC